AUACGGAGGAUGCGAGCGUUAUCCGGAUUUAUUGGGUUUAAAGGGAGCGUAGGCGGGAGCUUAAGUCAGCGGUUAAAUGGUGCGGCUCAACCGUGCCCUGCCGUUGAAACUGGGUUUCUUGAGAGUGCAAGAGGCGGAUGGAAUUCAUGGUGUAGCGGGGAAAUGCUUAGAUAUCAUGAAGAACUCCGACUGCGAAGGCAGUCCGCUGGGGCACGUCUGACGCUGAUGCUCGAAGGUGCGGGAAGCAAACAGGAUUAGAUACCCUGGUAGUCCGCACGGUAAACGAUGAUUACCCGCUGUCGGCGGUAGACAGUCGGCGGCCAAGCGAAAGCGAUAAGUAAUCCACCUGGGGAGUACGCCGGCAACGGUGAAACUCAAAUGAAUUGACGGGG
rnacentral:rRNA from 1 species